CUUCCAAAAAUCUUUUGCUUUCUCAAAACGUCCAUUCAACUGUUUUCUUACCUCAACCAAAUUUUUUUUCUUUCAAACGUCUCUUCAUAUGGUAUGCAAUGGAACAUUGUUUCUCCUUUUCUUUCUCCAAACGUUUCCUUUUCCUUUUUCUUCUAAGCUAUCGGUUUUGUAUCUCCUAUCAAAUAUGUAAAAGGUAACAAAUUCAAGAGGAGCUGAAAAGAUGGUACCUUUGGGAUGCGUGGUGUACAAAUUGAGUGAAUCAUUCUCAUAAUUUCCAGUAACAAGUGGAUGAUAUAUGGAGAAUUAUUUAUUAUAUUUAUUAAACAUUGAAUAUUUAUUAUAUUUAUUAUAUAUAAUCAAUCUGUUGUAUGUAAUAUAUAUUUAACAUA